AUUCCAGCUCCAAUAGCGUAUAUUAAAGUUGUUGCAGUUAAAACGCUCGUAGUCGGAUUUCGGGGCGGGCCGACCGGUCUGCCGAUGGGUAUGCACUGGCCGGCGCGUCCUUCCACCCGGAGACCGCGCCUACUCUUAACUGAGCGGGCGCGGGAGACGGGUCUUUUACUUUGAAAAAAUCAGAGUGUUUCAAGCAGGCAGUCGCUCUUGCAUGGAUUAGCAUGGGAUAAUGAAAUAGGACUCUGGUGCUAUUUUGUUGGUUUCGAACACCGGAGUAAUGAUUAAUAGGGAUAGUUGGGGGCAUUCGUACUUAACUGUCGGAGGUGAAAUUCUUGGAUUUGUUAAAGACGGACUACUGCGAAAGCAUUUGCCAAGGAUGUUUUCAUCA
rnacentral:rRNA from 1 species